rnacentral:rRNA from 1 species
AGCUCCAAUAGCGUAUACUAAAGUUGUUGCAGUUAAAAAGCUCGUAGUUGAAUUUCUGGUCUUGGACGGCGGUCUACCACAAUUGUGGUACGUACCAACUGUCCGAGUCCAUCCUCGGGGAAAACAUGCCUGUGAUUCAGUUCAUGGGUAUGGGAUCCUCGUCAUUUACUGUGAGCAAAAUAGAGUGUUCAAAGCAGGCUUAUGCCGUUGAAUACAUUAGCAUGGAAUAAUAAGAUAGGACCUUGGUCUAUUUUGUUGGUUUGUACUCCAAGGUAAUGAUUAAUAGGGAUAGUUGGGGGUAUUCGUAUUCAAUUGUCAGAGGUGAAAUUCUUGGAUUUAUGGAAGACGAACUACUGCGAAAGCAUUUACCAAGGAUGUUUUCAUUA